CCUGGACCUGACAAAAAGCAGAAUCAUUCACACUGGAAGCCAGGCCUUUUCUUCUCUCUCUCCAUCCUUCCCUGGCUCGUGAAAACACCAAGGCCAGACUUUAUCAUCCCAGAAGCCCAGUGUGAAGCUGGUCCACUCAGAAAGAUCACACAGGACAGCUUGAAAUGCCUAGAGGUCCCCAGGAUGGUGUUUGCUUCAUACACUGAAGAGAAC